CAGUUCUUCAGGCAAGCGGUAUAGUGGUACUCAGUUGCUGGCUGGGCUUAAACUAUGACAAGAAGACUGCAGGAAGUGCCAGUGUCUGUAGAUGCAUGAGUCACACUACAGAUACUGCACGAUGCUAACAGUGCUGACAUAUAACCUCACUGGGACUGUUGACGAGUACAAAGGACACACUUCAGACCCUUGUAGUCCCAACAUGUGUGAUUUUCUUGCAACGGGAAAGCCUGGAAGCAAGCCGUCUGGCUCACUGCCAACCUAAACCAUGGGAGUUUACUAGCCGUCAGCUGAAGUGCACUGGGCUGCAACUGUGAGAUGAUGUAACUGCACAGGAAAACCCUGCUGUCUUCCAGCUCUCCUGCCCAAGGAAGCUCUCAGCCAUUCAGGGAAGAUGGGGCAAUGCCAUCCCAUAAACACGCUGCACUUGGAAACAGAUGAAACCUUCCUUUGAAAGACAACAUCUUCAGCAGCCAGAUGAACACACAUGUGCGGCCAGGUUUUCAGAGCCUUCUGAUGUGGUCAGUUUUGGUCAGUUUUCCAUAAAGAAGGAAAAGGGCCCUGUAUUAUCUUCCUCAAGACAUUAAUUCAAAAGAAUGGAGAUGUCAAGACUUGUCAGUGACAUGAUUGUGAGAAUUUUAUGAGAAAUGGCAAGACAGUUUCUCCUACACCUUAUUCUCAGAAAACUUGGAGUUAUCUUGACUGGAAUUCUUGGGGCAGGGGAAGGUAAACUUAAUUCUAAUAACUAUAUUAAAUAGACAGGAUAUCUGCCUUGCUGUUAUCAACAACAAAUGCAUGGUUUAUUUAUGACAAACACUAUCUGCACCAUUUACAAUGCAAAUGUUUGAAAAUAAAGCAGUGACUUUUUUCUUAUUCCUUGUGGGAAAAUAAAAAAAGCCCUGCUCCUCCUCCCCCCACCCCCCCCCCCCAAAAAAAAAAGCAAGAGGACGUAUAAUAAAGUCUGAUAAUUCUCUUUCCUUUGGCUUUUCAGUUCCAUCACAGCUCUCCAAAUUAAGAUUUAUGUGCCAUUUUGUAUCUGUUGCUGCUGGUUUUUUCCCCCUACAGGGAUAUAGGUGGAUAAGUUUGGAUAGGAAACUGUAACCCUCAAGCCGAACUGAAAGGUAUAAA